CCCACCCCCGCAGGCUCGGACUGGGCUCUUUGGCAGCUAGGUUUGACCUAGUUUUGUGAUGAGGAAAUUGAGUGUUCCAGUUACUAUAUCUUUGCUACAAAUUAUUCGAAAAUAAGCAUUUAUCAAGCUCAUGGAUUUGUGGAUCAGGAAUUCAGAUGGGGAUGGCUUGUCUUUACUUCCCAAUGUCUGCGGCCUCAGACGGAGCACUUGAAGGCUGGAUCUGUGAUCAUCUGAAGGCUCAUCCACUCACGAGUCAGGGGUUGAUGCUGGUGGGUGAGAAGGACUUCUGUGUUAUUUUCACAUGGACUACUUUGUAGCUCCUGAGAGCAUGGUGGAUGGAUUUUAAAGGAGUUACUCUGAUAUGCAUUAGACAUUAAUAUGCACAUUUGAAUGAGGAGUCAGGUUUCAAGUUACAAUAAAAACCACUUGUAAAGAAUUUUCUCCUGAAUUCAAAUCUUUAAAACAGCCACAACAGAUUAAAUUAUUUUUUAAGGAAGUGGCAUGUUCUAGCAUACUUGUGGCCCUCCUUCUGCAUUGCCAGUGCUGCUGGGCUGCUUAAGAGGUAACAGGCUGACCGGGGGAGGAACAAGGACAUUUUGAUACUGGUGUGCCAACUGGAACAAACCUGAGAGCCAGGACUUUCUGUGGAUGAACAGGUAAUUUACCCUCAACAGGCCCAAGGGGCAGGACGAAGCUGGGAGGGGCAUUCAAUCAGGACACAGUGGGACCAGCCACCACCAGCCUCCACUGGCGCAGGAAAGAAUAGCCUGGGCUGGGUGAACAACCACCUCUUCUCAGCCAGUCCACCCUAUUAUGUGUUCACACUGCCAUCCCUGUUGC